GUCAAACCCAUGGGAGUGGCUCCUACACAAGGUCCAUUGAGAAGGAAUAUCCCUAGCCAACCGUAGAACAUUUAAUGCCCACAUUGUAUACCAAGUACUGGAUCAAAAUAAUUGUGUACUGUAUUAGUUAGUAACAAUGUAUCUGCCAAUGAUUAGACUGGUAAGACCAAUUCUCAAUCUAACAAACUAUCAGGAAUGCAUAACAUGGAUCAUUUUUCCCCAUUCAGAUCUUAUUAGGGUCAAACUUUCUAGCAGUUCUAGUGUGUAACUUUUUUUUCUUCCUUCUAAUCUUCUACCACUUGAAAUCACUUACUAGCAGAACCAG
rnacentral:misc_RNA from 1 species